ACGGCCUACGGGGCGCAGCAGUGGGGAAUAUUGGGCAAUGGACGCAAGUCUGACCCAGCAACGCCGCGUGAAGGAAGAAGGCUUUCGGGUUGUAAACUUCUUUUAAGGGGGAAGAGCAGAAGACGGUACCCCUUGAAUAAGCCACGGCUAACUCCGUGCCAGCAGCCGCGGUAAUACGGAGGAUGCGAGCGUUAUCCGGAUUUACUGGGUGUAAAGGGUGCGUAGGCGGCUUGGCAAGUCAGUAGUGAAAUCCAUGGGCUUAACCCAUGAACUGCUAUUGAAACUGUCGAGCUUGAGUGAAGUAG
rnacentral:rRNA from 1 species